rnacentral:rRNA from 1 species
AACGAACGCUGGCGGCAUGCCUAACACAUGCAAGUCGAACGAAACCUUCGGGUCUAGUGGCGCACGGGUGCGUAGCGCGGGGGGAGCUGCCCGCAGGUUCGGAAUAACUCUUAGGAAGGGGAGCUAACACGGGAGAACGUCCUCGGACCAAAGAUUCACCGCCCUAGGAGGGGUGCGCGCUGGAUUAGCCAGUUGGUAGGGUAGAAGGCUACCAAAGGGAGGACCCAUAGCUGGGCUGAGAGGAAGGGCAGCCACACCGGGACUAAGACACAGACGGGACUCCUACGGGAUGGGGCAAUGGGGGAUAUAGGACAGCGGGGGAGAGGCUGAAGGAGCUAUGCCGGGUGAGUGCUGGAGGUGUUAGGGUUGUGAAGCUCUUUUACACUGGGUGCUAGUGACGGUACCCGAAGAAUAAGCACCGGCUAACUCCGUG